rnacentral:rRNA from 1 species
UUGAUCCUGGCUCAGAUUGAACGCUGGCGGCAGGCCUAACACAUGCAAGUCGAGCGGCAGCGGGAAGUAGCUUGCUACUUUGCCGGCGAGCGGCGGACGGGUGAGUAAUGUCUGGUGAAACUGCCUGAUGGAGGGGGAUAACUACUGGAAACGGUAGCUAAUACCGCAUGACCUCGCAAGAGCAAAGUGGGGGACCUUCGGGCCUCACGCCAUCGGAUGUGCCCAGAUGGGAUUAGCUAGUAGGUGAGGUAAUGGCUCACCUAGGCGACGAUCCCUAGCUGGUCUGAGAGGAUGACCAGCCACACUGGAACUGAGACACGGUCCAGACUCCUACGGGAGGCAGCAGUGGGGAAUAUUGCACAAUGGGCGCAAGCCUGAUGCAGCCAUGCCGCGUGUGUGAAGAAGGCCUUAGGGUUGUAAAGCACUUUCAGCGAGGAGGAAGGGUUCAGUGCUAAU